CGGCACCUCAAGUGGUCAGGAUGAUUAUUGGGCCUAAAGCAUCCGUAGCCUGCUUUGUUAGUUUUCGGUUAAAUCCAUACGCUCAACGUAUGGGCUGCCGGGAAUACUGCAAAGCUAGGGAGUGGGAGAGGUAGACGGUACUCGGUAGGAAGGGGUAAAAUCCUUUGAUCUAUUGAUGACCACCUGUGGCGAAGGCGGUCUACCAGAACACGUCCGACGGUGAGGGAUGAAAGCUGGGGGAGCAAACCGGAUUAGAUACCCGAGUAGUCC
rnacentral:rRNA from 1 species